rnacentral:rRNA from 1 species
GACGAACGCUGGCGGCGUGCUUAACACAUGCAAGUCGAACGGAAAGGCCCUGCUUUUGUGGGGUGCUCGAGUGGCGAACGGGUGAGUAACACGUGAGUAACCUGCCCUUGACUUUGGGAUAACUUCAGGAAACUGGGGCUAAUACCGGAUAGGAGCUCCUGCUGCAUGGUGGGGGUUGGAAAGUUUCGGCGGUUGGGGAUGGACUCGCGGCUUAUCAGCUUGUUGGUGGGGUAGUGGCUUACCAAGGCUUUGACGGGUAGCCGGCCUGAGAGGGUGACCGGGCACAUGGGGACUGAGAUACGGCCCAGACUCCUACGGGAGGCAGCAGUGGGGAAUAUUGCAGAAUGGGCGGAAGCCUGAUGCAGCAGCGCCGCGUGCGGGAUGACGGCCUUCGGGUUGUAAACCGCUUUCGCCUGUGACGAAGCGUGAGUGACGGUAAUGGGUAAAGAAGCACCGGCUAACUACGUG